rnacentral:rRNA from 1 species
AGCGAACGUUUGCGGCGGGCCUAACACAUGCAAGUCGAACGAGAACCGGUCCUUCGGGACCGGGGAAAGUGGCGCACGGGUGCGUAACACGUGGGUAAUCAACCCCCUAGAUUGGGACAACCCGGGGAAACUCGGGCUAAUACCAGAUGUGGCGUCCGGGACUUCGGUCCUGGCCGCGAAAGGUCCGCAAGGGCCACUAGGGGACGAGCUCGCGGCCCAUCAGCUUGUUGGUGAGGUAAUGGCUCACCAAGGCCGAGACGGGUAGCUGGUCUGAGAGGAUGAUCAGCCACACUGGAACUGAGACACGGUCCAGACUCCUACGGGAGGCAGCAGUGGGGAAUAUUGCGCAAUGGGCGAAAGCCUGACGCAGCCACGCCGUGUGAGCGAUGAAGGUCUUCGGAUCGUAAAGCUCUGUGGGGGGAGAAGAAUCAAGCCGGUGAAGAGCCGGCCCCGACGGUAUCCCCUUAGCAAGCACCGGCUAACUCCGUGCCAGCAGCCGCGGUAAUACGGAGGGUGCAAACG